UACGUAGGGUGCGAGCGUUGUCCGGAAUUACUGGGCGUAAAGAGCUCGUAGGUGGUUUGUCGCGUUGUCCGUGAAAACUCACAACUCAAUUGUGGGCGUGCGGGCGAUACGGGCAGACUGGAGUACUGCAGGGGAGACUGGAAUUCCUGGUGUAGCGGUGGAAUGCGCAGAUAUCAGGAAGAACACCCGUCGCUAAGGCGGCUCUCUAGUACGGUACUGACGCUGAGACGCGAAAGCGUGGGGAGCGAACAGG
rnacentral:rRNA from 1 species